rnacentral:rRNA from 1 species
AGAGUUUGAUCCUGGCUCAGGAUGAACGCUGGCGACGUGCUUAACACAUGCAAGUCGAACGAAGCACUGGGGAAAGAGACUUCGGUCAAUCGAACCUUUGACUUAGUGGCGGACGGGUGAGUAAUGCGUGAGCAACCUGCCCUUCGGAGGGGGACAACAGUUGGAAACGACUGCUAAUACCGCAUAAUGUAUUUAGGAGGCAUCUCCCGAAUACCAAAGAUUUAUCGCCGAAGGAUGGGCUCACGUCUGAUUAGCUAGUUGGUGAGGUAACGGCCCACCAAGGCUUCGAUCAGUAGCCGGACUGAGAGGUUGACCGGCCACAUUGGGACUGAGAUACGGCCCAGACUCCUACGGGAGGCAGCAGUGGGGAAUAUUGGGCAAUGGGGGAAACCCUGACCCAGCAACGCCGCGUGAAGGAAGAAGGCUUUCGGGUUGUAAACUUCUUUUAACAGGGAAGAUGAUGACGGUACCUGUUGAAUAAGCCACGGCUAACUACGUGCCAGCAGCCGCGGU